CUCAGGGGACGCAACCCACGCAAUACAACUUGCGAUCCACUCGGGCAGCGAAAAAGAGGUACACUCCGGGCUCGCAAGCAAUUCGGUGCCAACGGAAGAAGUAAUUUGUAUGAAGUUAAUUUAUUAGUUGGUAGUAUGACAUAUGUGGUGCACUAUGUGAUAUAAAAUGUGAUGGACUAUGUGAGGACUAUGUGAUGGAUUUUUGACAUUGUUUCAUGUGUGGAAUAUAGGAUGGACUUUUUGCA